GAUACACUCACACAUAGUUACUGACAUACAGAUACACACACUGAUACACAGACAUACAAAUAUGCACAUUGACACACAGAAAUACAGAUGCACACACUAACACUCACGAUAUACAGACAUACAGAUACAGACUAACAUACACACAGACAUACAGAUACAGACUGACACCUACACACACUGACAGAUACGCACACUGACAAACACUCAGAUACACA